UCCUUCAUAGUGUAACGGCUAACAUAUGUCGCUUUCAUUCCGAUGACCGACAAGCUCCGGGUUCGAUUCCCGGUGAGGGAA